rnacentral:rRNA from 1 species
AACGCUGAAGCCGACAGCUUGCUGUUGGUGGAUGAGUGGCGAACGGGUGAGUAACACGUGAGUAACCUGCCCCUGAUUUCGGGAUAAGCCUGGGAAACUGGGUCUAAUACCGGAUACGACCAACCCUCGCAUGAGGGUUGGUGGAAAGUUUUUCGAUCGGGGAUGGGCUCGCGGCCUAUCAGCUUGUUGGUGGGGUAAUGGCCCACCAAGGCGACGACGGGUAGCCGGCCUGAGAGGGCGACCGGCCACACUGGGACUGAGACACGGCCCAGACUCCUACGGGAGGCAGCAGUGGGGAAUAUUGCACAAUGGGGGAAACCCUGAUGCAGCGACGCAGCGUGCGGGAUGACGGCCUUCGGGUUGUAAACCGCUUUCAGCAGGGAAGAAGCGAAAGUGACGGUACCUGCAGAAGAAGUACCGGCUAACUACGUGCCAGCAGCCGCGGUAAUACGUAGGGUACGAGCGUUGUCCGGAAUUAUUGGGCGUAAAGAGCUCGUAGGUGGUUGGUCACGUCUGCUGUGGAAACGCAACGCUUAACGUUGCGCGUGCAGUGGGUACGGGCUGACUAGAGUGCAGUAGGGGAGUCUGGAAUUCCUGGUGUAGCGGUGAAAUGCGCAGAUAUCAGGAGGAACACCGGUGGCGAAGGCGGGACUCUGGGCUGUAACUGACACUGAGGAGCGAAAGCAUGGGGAGCGAACAGGAUUAGAUACCCUGGUAGUCCAUGCCGUAAACGUUGGGCACUAGGUGUGGGGGACAUUCCACGUUCUCCGCGCCGUAGCUAAC